AAUAUUCACCUGAAAAAAAUUCACCUGCAAAAAAUUCACCGUCAAAUAUUCACCAGCAAAAAAUUCACCUGCAAAAAUUCGCCUGCAAAAAUUCAACUGCAAAAGUGAUGAACUUAAAUGACCCAAGCCAGAGCAAUCAGCACUAGAUCGAGUCGAGCGGCUCUCAGCCAAUUAAAUUACGCUGUUUGAUCACAUGACAUCGUUAGCCAGCAGUGUGUCUCCUGAAAAGAGAGCUGUUUAGAGAGGCAGUUUUGAAUUCAGGAGCGGCAAACCCUGGCGGUUCUCCGGAUUCGUUGCAACCACGGAUGGGAAAAUGUGGAGGUUGCACGGCUGAUGUUUACUGUUCGUGGCACAGGAAGAGGCAGUUUCAUUUCAGGAAUGAGUGUGCACAAUCAAAGAAUAGAGCGACUGUGGAGAGACCUCUGGGUGGCCGUUGCAUGCAUUUACUACGAUGUUCUUCACAACCUUGAGGAAGAAGGCCUUCUUGACAUUUCAAAUGCUGCGCACACCUUUUGCUGCCAUUACAUCUUUCUUCCUCGACUGGAGGAUGAUUUUAAUACAUUUUGCAGUGGAUGGGACAACCAUCCACUGCGAACAGAAAACAACACGAGUCCCAACCAGCUGUGGGAGUUGUGUCACAGAUAUCACCCUGUUCCUGUUCCAGAAAACACACAGCUUAUCACACAUUUGAUUUCCAUGUGUGACAACUGCAAGUGUCCAGAGUGAGGACAGA